UACGAAGGGGGGCUAGCGUUGCUCGGAAUCACUGGGCGUAAAGCGCACGUAGGCGGACUCUUAAGUCGGUGGUGAAAUCCUGGGAGCUCAACUCCAGAACUGCCUUCGAUACUGAGAGUCUCGAGUCCGGGAGAGGUGAGUGGAACUGCGAGUGUAGAGGUGAAAUUCGUAGAUAUUCGCAAGAACACCAGUGGCGAAGGCGGCUCACUGGCCCGGGUACUGACGCUGAGGUGCGAAAGCGUGGGGAGCAAACAGG
rnacentral:rRNA from 1 species